rnacentral:rRNA from 1 species
CAGCAGCCGCGGUAAUACGAAGGGGGCUAGCGUUGCUCGGAAUUACUGGGCGUAAAGGGCGCGUAGGCGGACAGUUAAGUCAGAGGUGAAAGCCCAGGGCUCAACCUUGGAACUGCCUUUGAUACUGGCUGUCUAGAGUGCGGGAGAGGUGUGUGGAACUUCGAGUGUAGAGGUGAAAUUCGUAGAUAUUCGGAAGAACACCAGUGGCGAAGGCGACACACUGGCCCGUAACUGACGCUGAGGCGCGAAAGCGUGGGGAGCAAACAGGAUUAGAUACCCCCGUAGUCCCUGUCUCUUAUAC